UGGGAAUUUGGACAAUGGGCGAAGCCUGAUCCAGCAAUGCCGCGUGUGUGAAGAAGGCCUUCGGGUUGUAAAGCACUUUUGUCCGGAAAGAAAUCCUUGGCUCUAAUACAGUCGGGGGAUGACGGUACCGGAAGAAUAAGCACCGGCUAACUACGUGCCAGCAGCCGCGGUAAUACGUAGGGUGCAAGCGUUAAUCGGAAUUACUGGGCGUAAAGCGUGCGCAGGCGGUUUGCUAAGACCGAUGUGAAAUCCCCGGGCUCAACCUGGGAACUGCAUUGGUGACUGGCAGGCUAGAGUAUGGCAGAGGGGGGUAGAAUUCCACGUGUAGCAGUGAAAUGCGUAGAGAUGUGGAGGAAUACCGAUGGCGAAGGCAGCCCCCUGGGCCAAUACUGACGCUCGUGCACGAAAGCGUGGGGAGCAAACAGGAUUAGAUACCCUGGUAGUCCACGCCCUAAACGAUGUCAACUAGUUGUUGGGGAUUCAUUUCCUUAGUAACGUAGCUAACGCGUGAAGUUGACCGCCUGGGGAGUACGGUCGCAAGAUUAAAACUCAAAUGAAUUGACGGGGUCAUAGCUGUUUCCU
rnacentral:rRNA from 1 species